rnacentral:rRNA from 1 species
UACGUAGGUGGCAAGCGUUGUCCGGAAUUAUUGGGCGUAAAGCGCGCGCAGGCGGUCCAUUCAGUCGCUGGUGAAAGCCCCACGCUCAACGUGGGAAGGUCCGGCGAGACGGGUGGACUGGAGGCAGGGAGAGGUCGGUGGAAUUCCGGGUGUAGUGGUGAAAUGCGUAGAGAUCCGGAGGAACACCAGAGGCGAAGGCGGCCGACUGGACCUGACCUGACGCUGAGGCGCGAAGGCGUGGGGAGCGAACGGG